rnacentral:rRNA from 1 species
AACUCCAAUGAGUUCAAAGCCUACUGUGAAGAAAUUGGUGUCAAGCACUACACAACUGCUCCGUACUCGCCGCAGCAAAAUGGAGUGGUAGAGCGGAGAAAUCAGACGGUCGUGGAAAUGGCCAGAUGCAUGUUGAAGAGCAUGGACAUGCCAGCGUACUUCUGGGCGGAGGCGGUGAGAACCGCCGUGUAUGUGCUGAAUCGCACGCCCACACGCAGUCUGGAGGGUGUCACGCCUUAUGAAGCGUGGCACGGCCGUAAGCCUAGCGUGCAACACUUGCGCACGUUCGGGUGCACGGUUCAUGUCAAGAACGUCGGCCCUGGCGUCACGAAGCUAAGCGAUCGCUCAACGGAAAUGGUGUUCAUUGGAUACGAGGAAGGUUCCAAGGCCUAUCGUGUGUACAACCCAACAACGAAGAAGGUGCAGGUGACUCGAGACGUGAUCUUUGAAGAAAGCAGGCCCUGGACAUGGCGCGCACCGGGCGCGGCAGAGGACCGCGCUGCGCCGACGACCUUCACAGUCGUGUACACCACUGCCGGCGGGGUGCACUAG